rnacentral:rRNA from 1 species
AUUGGGCGUAAAGCGCGCGUAGGCGGUUUCUUAAGUCUGAUGUGAAAGCUCCUUCGGCUCAACCGUGGAGGGUCAUUGGAAACUGGGGAACUUGAGUGCAGAAGAGGAGAGUGGAAUUCCAUGUGUAGCGGUGAAAUGCGCAGAGAUAUGGAGGAACACCAGUGGCGAAGGCGGCUCUCUGGUCUGUAACUGACGCUGAUGUGCGAAAGCGUGGGGAUCAAACAGGAUUAGAUACCCUGGUAGUCCACGCCGUAAACGAUGAGUGCUAAGUGUUAGGGGGUUUCCGCCCCUUAGUGCUGCAGCUAACGCAUUAAGCACUCCGCCUGGGGAGUACGACCGCGAGGUUGAAACUCAAAGGGAAUUGACGGGGGACCCGCACAAG